GCCUCAGUAGCUCAGCCCGGUAGAGCAUCUGAUUUGUAAUCAGACGGUCGGGGGUUCAACUCCCUCCUGGGGCUCCA
rnacentral:tRNA from 2 species